UACGUAGGGUGCAAGCGUUGUCCGGAAUUAUUGGGCGUAAAGGGCUCGUAGGCGGUUUGUCACGUCGGGAGUGAAAUCUUACAGCUUAACUGUGAACUUGCUUUCGAUACGGGCAGACUUGAGGCAUUCAGGGGAGAACGGAAUUCCGUGGUCGUAGCGGUGAAAUGCGCAGAUAUCAGGAGGAACACCGGUGGCGAAGGCGGUUCUCUGGGAAUGUACUGACGCUGAGGAGCGAAAGUGUGGGGAGCGAACAGG
rnacentral:rRNA from 1 species